GGCGGCCUGGUAGUGCUGCUCCGGGUAGAUGCAACGGCUUGGAGGCGUGCAACUCUGGGCGGACGCUGCCCUGCCUAGCAGCAUGCUGCUCCGGCAGAUGCAGAGGCAUGGUGGCGUGUAGCUCUGGCGUGACAAGCUCUGCCAGGAUGCUGGCGAUGACGGCCUUCUCUAUGGUUAGAUUUGGCAGAGGUCUUCUCAGGUCUUUGUUUUUGGGAGACCAGAGGUUAGUAAUUUCCAAUAGAUGCUAACAUAAAUUCAUCCUAUUCAGAGUAUAAAUUGCAUAACCCAUUCACUGAUGUCCUGAAAUGAUGCGUUAGGGUUCUGAAUUUCUGCAGUUCUGAAUUUUUCAGGUUUUGAAUUUCUUCUGAAUUAGCAGCAGUUCAAUGGUGUUGGCUUUGCAUCUGUUAACCGGCAACAGCAACAUGAUUCUGUAUUUUUGAAUAUGAAUUCAGUUCAGCAUCAAUAAAAACAUAAAUUUGACAAGCUCGGAGAACACUCUAAAAAUCAUACUCGAUACUAAAGUUAUACAUGUUAUUCUUGUAUAUAUUUUUCAAUGAAGUGUUCAAUAGAUGAUUAGCUAUACUAUUGUGGUGAUAUUUUGUCCCAGGUUAUCUAACACCCAAGAAACUGUGCAUUA
rnacentral:lncRNA from 1 species